GCCGUCGUAGGCCACGGAGGCCGCCCUCACAGAUUAAGCACAGCAGUGUCGAGAUGUGAUUGGAGGAAGGCGGAGGUUCAAUUCCUCCCGACGGCA